GCACCUAUAGCUCAGCUGGUUAGAGCGUACGGCUAAUAACCGUAAGGUCCGCGGUUCGAUCCCGCGUAGGUGCA
rnacentral:tRNA from 1 species